GAGGGUAUAGCUCUGUGGUAGAGUGCUAUGCUUACCAUGCACAAGGUCCUGGGUUCAGUCCCCAGUGCCUCCA
rnacentral:tRNA from 1 species